GCCCUCGUGGUGCAAUGGUUAAGCACUCACUUGGCUGCUAACUGAAAGGUUGGCAGUUUGAAUCUGCCCCAUGGCU
rnacentral:tRNA from 1 species